AGGGGAGAGGAGGGAGUGUAGGUAUUCAGCUCUGCACCAAACUGAAAUCCCCGUUCUUUAAUGCUUCUGCUUUGUACAGUGCUUAAGCCACAUUCUUUGCACAAAGCUAACUGCAAUGGUCGGCGCGCCUGUCUUCAGAAAUAUCGCAACAGAGAUUGUUGCCUUUUAGAGUGGCAUUUAAUUAGCGGGAUUUAGUCUGAAAUACCACUGAAGCACUUCCUUGCUAAUUAUGGCUUCAAAAUCCCUUCCUUUUGCAAUCUAGACGAGUGGGCUGUAGGAUCACCUGGUCGCAGGACCCUAAUGACACAGCUUUGGGUACCGCCUGGCAGGAGGGGGGGUCUCUGAAGGCGACAGCCUCCUCCAACAGAAGCACCAAGGAGCACCUUUCACUCCAGCAAUGCCUGGUCACGUCCUGGACACAGGAUCUCCCAGCUCCGAGGAGCCCCCCGUACUGCACCGAGCACCCCUACGGCUGCCCCUGCGUGACCCCCCAGGGCAGGCCCUCUGCUGAUGGCCAUGGGCACGCCUACGGGAGGUACGGCAGCAGAUAACCCAUGAAGACCUGUCCUCAAGCAUUUUUUGUCACGUCAGCGCGUUCUGUGGAUCACGUUUUAGGGGCCCUGGUAAGGAACAUGCUUUUCUGUUAGGCAACAUACAAAAAGCGCUGCAUUUUUUUAAGGAUGGUGUUUAAAAAACAAAACAAAAAGAAAACCCAAAUCCGCCAAAGUACUGUAAUCAUUGUUUAUGCAAACGGACAGAUAGCAUGGUCAGGGAGCUCAAUAAAUGGGGAAACAUAAUUUCCACUCUAAUUCUUGUAAAGAAUAUAAAAUUAAGGGCCUUAGCCCACCAAAUACAAACACAUACUGUAAAAAUAUUUUUCAAUUAAGCAUAACGUAGAUGAGUGCACGUCUCCAGAUAGGUAAAAAUACCACUGCCUUCAUACCAGUAUCACAUAUUUGAAUAGGUUGCAUAUAAACAAAAUCUUUCUUUGUUGUUCAGUCCAGGCUUGCUUUACUCUAAAGCAAGGGUGUUCCUAGUACAUCUUUUUUUUUUUUUUUGGUCUUUCUUCCUUUAAGAUAAACC